ACGGAAGGCAGCAGUGGGGAAUAUUGGACAAUGGGGGAAACCCUGAUCCAGCGACGCCGCGUGAGUGAAGAAGGAUUUCGGUAUGUAAAGCUCUAUCAGCAGGGAAGAUAAUGACGGUACCUGAGUAAGAAGCCCCGGCUAACUACGUGCCAGCAGCCGCGGUAAUACGUAGGGGGCAAGCGUUAUCCGGAUUUACUGGGUGUAAAGGGAGCGUAGACGGCAGGGCAAGUCUGAUGUGAAAGCCCGGGGCUCAACCCCGGGACUGCAUUGGAAACUGUCCGGCUAGAGUGCAGGAGAGGUAAGUGGAAUUCCUAGUGUAGCGGUGAAAUGCGUAGAUAUUAGGAGGAACACCAGUGGCGAAGGCGGCUUACUGGACUGUAACUGACGUUGAGGCUCGAAAGCGUGGGUAGCAAACAGGAUUAGAUACCCUGGUA
rnacentral:rRNA from 1 species